GUCAACGACCAUACCAUGUUGAAUAAACCGGUUCUCGUCCGAUCACCGAAGUUGAGCACCAUCGGGCGCGAUUAGAGCAAUUCUCUAGGAAAUUGUUUUUA
rnacentral:rRNA from 2 species